rnacentral:rRNA from 1 species
AUUGAACGCUGGCGGCAUGCUUUACACAUGCAAGUCGAACGGUAACAGGUUAAGCUGACGAGUGGCGAACGGGUGAGUAAUGCAUCGGAACGUGCCCGGUCGUGGGGGAUAACGCAGCGAAAGCUGCGCUAAUACCGCAUACGAUCUGAGGAUGAAAGCGGGGGACCGAAAGGCCUCGCGCGAUCGGAGCGGCCGAUGUCAGAUUAGGUAGUUGGUGGGGUAAAGGCUCACCAAGCCAACGAUCUGUAGCUGGUCUGAGAGGACGACCAGCCACAAUGGGACGGGGACGCGGCCCAGACUCCUACGGGAGGCAGCAGUGGGGAAUUUUGGACAAUGGGCGAAAGCCUGAUCCAGCAAUGCCGCGUGCAGGAAGAAGGCCUUCGGGUUGUAAACUGCUUUUGUACGGAGCGAAAAGGUCUCCUCUAAUACAGGGGGCUCAUGACGGUACCGUAAGAAUAAGCACCGGCUAACUACGUGCCAGCAGCCGCGGUAA